AUGGAGUUCAAGGCAAGGUGAACCAGAAAAGGAUCGGUUAUAGGAAAGUCACGGGCCUUCGCUUUGCUAGCUACCUCUAUCAUACUUAGAUGAUACACUCCCAAAUCCUUCACACCAUCAUAAUUCAUUGUAGCUAGCUUGUUCAUCAAAUUCCCAGUCUCAGCCUUCUUCGAUUCCUUAAAUUUUUGACUCACAACCUCCAAGUACUCCUUAGCAUUCUCAGAGUGAGGAAUGUCACCACAAAUAGCUUCAGUCGUGGACUUUUGUAUUAAACCAUGACAUCUUUCAUGGGUUGUUAACUUUAUGUGAAAUUUUGAUCAGUGAAGGGCGAGAGGUGCAACAUCCCUGGACCCAUUGUCUAGGGGGCCCAAUUUUGUUUUCUUUUUUAAUAUAUGUAUUUAAUAUUCAUUUAAUAUAUUAUAUAUUCAUGAAAUAUUUUCAGGAAAAUGAAAAUGGAUAACUUCAGGUUUCUUGAGAUAACAUUGAAACGCGUGGAACUCCUCUUCUGCAUUGUUGCACUGCACCACUUCCACUCCUCAAGGUUUAAUGUUCGAUUUUUCCUGUUAUAAUUCAUUAAUAUUUAUCUUGAAUGUUAAAUUUCUAGUUAACUUUGAGAUGUUAAUUUUUCUUGGUUUUGCUUUAAAAAUGAGAGUAAAUUUAGCACAUAAGUUUUAUAAAUAAAAAUUAUGACAGAGUAAUUCUUUACUUUUGCUCUGAGGUAGGGUUUGUGCUUAUGAUUUGUGUAUGAGAUUGGGGACCUAAACCUUGUAUCCAUAACCAAAUAGGAAAGAUAUCUCCUAUUAAUUUGAUAUUUUCUUCCCUUAGAAGUAACUAGCUAAUCGAAUUAAACCUUCCUCUUUUAUCCUUGACAGAUUUGGUGUCUUAAGAAGAUGGGGCACAAACAUUUUAGCUACAAGGAGCUUGUAGCUUAAAUGGUUAAGAGAAGUUAUUCAUAUACUCAAAAUUGUGUUUUUGGAUUCUCCCGACUAAGUUGACAUUUCAAAAUCGUGUUUUCAAAUUCUCCCAAGCUAGGUUGACAUUGACAAAGCAUGGGUUUUGUUGCCAUUCUGGGCCUUUCUUUGGGAAUCAGGCUUGUUAACCUAAAGGUUAUAUAUGACUCGAGUGGGGAAAACCCCAUCAACAUGUAGCCCAAGUAAUAUAUUCUUCAUGAAUCAAAUACAAGGAGUAUAUAUAGUAGUCUUUAAUUAUAUUUAUUGUUUUGGUAGCUGUCUUUAAUUUAUACCUAAAUAUUUUGAAUGUCAAAAAUUAUAUGAAAGCUAUUGGGGCUUAUGAUUCUCUUUCUUUUUUUAUUUCUUUUUUUAAAUUAUCAGUUUGUUUUUAAAAACCAAAAAACUAUAUACUAAAUCAGUUUGUUUUUAAAAUCUCAAAUUGUUGACCGUUCUUUAUGCUUUCUUUUUUAUAAUCAGCUGAUUUCUGAGCCCUUUGAGGGAGCUGUGUGUGAAACUGAGUAACGGUUUCCUUUUUUAGAUUUCUAUAACACUGUAACCCAAAAAUGCAACAAAAUUUUUGAAUAAACUCGGAAAUAUUCAAACAAAAUUCAAGAAAAAUGCACUAUUUUCUUAAUGUUUUAUGAUGCAUUGUAGAUGUCAGCAAUACCAUAGCACACACCAAAGCCCUGGGACAUGGAGGAGCGUGGGAGGGUAUUGGGGCCUAUGGUAGCUUUAAGGUGUCCAAAAGACACCGAAAGUGGGAUCCAUGCAUAAAUAUAAAGUCAUUUUGCAGAUUUGGAUCAUCAUCAUCAUCAUCAUCGCACAACCCCAAC
rnacentral:lncRNA from 1 species